GCUGUGACUGAUGACGUUUCACGAGUCCACGAGAACAAAAGUCCACACAAGAACGCAUAUUGAGAAACGGCCCAUGUGUCUGUUGGACUGAUUCCAAUGCUGGAUUACUCGUGUCAUAGUGAGGAAAACACAGAACCUUCAAAUCCGACGUCUCCUCCUGCGUCGAUUUCAGACCCUCCACUGAAGAAUAACCCAUCGUUACAACCCCUCCACCAAGCGUUUAUCUUACAUCUCCCCUGCAUUAAAGCCAGCUUCUUUGAAUGCAAAGCUAAUACUUCAGGGACUUCAGCGAUGUCUGGAGAAAAUUCAAGAUGCACCAAUCAAUGAUUUUGUAUCAAUAAUGGAUCAAAUGACGAUGGGUAACGUGAAGGUUAAUUUGUGGUUCAGUCUGACCAUCCAUCUUUUUUCCAACAGUAGCAAGGGGAAGCGCCCACAGAGAACUGCCCUGCACUACCUACUCAUUGGGGCAGACAGACUCAGUUAGAGACAAAGCAGCAAUUGUUGGUGGAUGAACACCAAUUCUGAACCAAAAGAGGGGUGAGAAUCAUCUGAAAAGGAAUAACCGAACAUUGGUCACACCAACAACUUUGCUUUCAGGUUGUUAUUCAUCCCAACAUCCCGAAGCCAUUCCUUUUGCUCCAGUUCAGUGCCCUGUCUCAAGAUAUCAGAAGAUGAGUCAGUGAAAACUUCAGUCCGUCCCAGAUCUUGUCGAUACUGCUACAGGCUCUUUGAGAAUGGCGCUGGACGCUAUUGCUAUAGAAAGAGGAAUGGCAACAAGAAUGAGGUUUGCUCCUUGGUAUAACCCUCAAAUCGGAAACUUAGAGCAAACUGUGCGGAAACUUGAAAGGUUAUGGCGUUCCACCUAAUCAGAGGGAUCUAGGCUAGUUUGACAAGACAGCCUUAAAACAUAUAAGAAGGCUCUCCGUAACCCAAGAGCAUCUUAUUACUCAUCAUUAAUAGAGAAAAAAAAACUACAGGUUUCUCAGCACUGUAGCCAAACUGACAGAGUCACAGCUCUGUUGAUACGUGUAUUCCUUUGGGCCACAGUAGUAACGUCUUCAUGAAUUUCUUCAAUGAUAAGAUUCUGACUAAGAAAAUGUAUGGUCUCCUGCCUUCAACCAGUGCCGACCCGUCCUAGGAUGUAGGAACCUUGGAUGCAGCAGUGGGCCCUGAUACCUACUUGGAUGGCUUCUCUUCCAUCAACCUUGAUCAACUGACUUCUACAAAUUUCAAAGUCUAAAUCUUCUACUUGAUUCCGACUAAGCUGCUUAAGGAAGUUUUUCUUUUAAUUAGCAUGUCAUAACUGGAUAUUAUGAAUCAGCAGAGGUGUAGGCUAACUACAGACCUAUCUCUAAUCUUCCCUUCCUCUCCAUCAGGAGGCUGAAGACCUCUGACCUCUCGCCAAGACCUCUCACCACACAAACAGUUUCUUUCCGUCUGUAAUUGGGCUCAUCAACAGAGCCCGAGUGCCCCACUGACUGACUGUCAUUUUGGUAAUACAUUCCUGAUUCUUAAUCCUGGUGGUUGUCCUUGUAGUGGUCCUGCCAUACACCUGCCUUACCACUCGCAAUAAUUGAAUCAUUUCUGUCAUAGGAAUUUAAUGUAUUGUGCAUAUUUCAUACUUUCAUUCUGUACACAUGACAUCCAUUGUAGUUUGUGCAUCCCGGGAGAGGGAUCCCUCCUCUAAUGUUCUCCCUCAAGCAAUGACAUCACAACCCUUAUUUAGCAACUUUUGACAAAAAAAAUUAGACCUGCUACGAAUUUCCCCAGAAAAUAUGUUGGCAACACUGAAAUGAGUACAUCUGGUUACUAUGACCCUAGAUAGAGAAAAAGGUGAUGGCUGGCUUUUUUAACCACCUCCCAGUGUCUGUUCAGAACAACUCCUAAUAGGUAUGCCUUCUGACAUGUUCUAGCAUGGAAACCCCUUAAUCCUCAGUAGGCUCAAUUAGUCCGCCUUUUGAAAAUGAGAAUGUGACAAUUUACAAAGAGACAAAGCAGAGAAAAGGUGUGUGAGCAACUUGUUCAAAACCCUACAACCCUACACCCUACCUUUUUAUAGAUUGGAUUAUAUUCUGCUGGUACACACUGGAUCUGAAUGUCCAGUACCAGUCAAUGGUUUGGACACACAUUCUCAUUGAAUUGAAUUAGAAAAUGUGUCAAAGGGUUUGACUGGUACUGUACUUAAAGAGCAUAGAGCCUCAAAAAAGCAUGACAAUGCCAUCAUUAAUGGAUCCUCAACCAGCCUGUUUAAUCUGGGCCAGCAAAGGAUCAGGGUGAGGACUAAACAAAAAGACCUCUGUCCCUCUCUGGUAUUGUCAAUAUGGUGCAGUCAUCGGCGAACCAAUCAAAGGUUCAUCAACCGGCAUAUUUAAAACGGGUCCUCACAUUGCCAGCCAAGGACAACUGAUGGCUCAUUAUCCUGCAGCCGAAAAUUGCAGCCAUCCUGAACAGAAUUUCAAUUAUGCACUUCUUAAAACACUCACCGGAUUAAAGAUGUUACAAAAGGCCACACACUCCAAUCAGGCUGACUGAUUAGCAUUUCAUAAAGAGGAUGAAAGCUGUGAUUCUGAAUGCAGUAAAUCAGGGUUUUUUUCCUGCUACAUAUUGGUCCUUUGGUGCCCUCGUCUACUUUAUCCGCAUGGUGAAUUGUAUUAAUGCAGAGCAAUAUUUUUAUCUUAAAUAACUAUCUGGUUAAAUCUUAAAGUGUUUAAAUGAGUACAGCUAUUUUCCUUUUCAUGAACAGUCCCCUAUCAAGGCCUAAGCACACAACAAUAAUCUGAUGUAUUGCUGCAGUGAAACUGCCUUUGUGUAUCAUUCUGUUAAUAACUAACUUUCACUCGGAAAUCUGUAGCUUUAACUUUUUUGUUUUGAUUUUGCAGCUAAUUCAGUCUCAUCUUGUACACAUCCUUGAAACAGAACCCUAAGUAUUAGUAAUAUUCAUCCAGGGACUGCAGUUAGUAACAGGGAUCACUGAUGGCUUGAUGAUGUAGUGAUGAGUGUUUGGGGAGUGAGAGAUUAACUAAAUAUGUAACCGGACAGAAAUGCUUUUGAAAAGCAACAAUGUUUAAGUCAAUUUACACUGCAUGAAAAGUGAGAUUUUCGUCCCCGUAAACGCCCCUAAUUUCCGACAAUUUCCGACAAUUUGCAACCCGCGCACGUCGCGUUUGUCUGUGCCACAAAUUGUCGGAAACGAACCAUGACGUAGGUGGAGAGCUGGCGGAGGUGCGAAUGGUCCUAAUUAGCAUAUGAAUGCAGCGAAACCGCAGGUGGCCGAGCCGAGCGGGCUUGAAUAUUCUUACUCCUUAUUGGAUGAAACCACAACCCACUAACAAAUAAAAACAACUUUCAAUCACUCGUGAUUGGUUGGCAGAUCUGUCGCUAUUGGUCACCCGCCUCAUUUUAUUUAUAUAUUCAUAUUAUGCUGUAUAUUCAUUUCAUGGUUAUCCUAUGCUGGCUACUACACUAUUAUUAGGAUACCAACCAGGACAUCAAUGCAUUUAUAGAGAAAAUGAACAUUUGCCACAUGUUUAUGCAAAGAAAAAGCUUUAUUAACAACACACAAACAACAACUACAUACAAAGUGAGGAUCUGCCCACACUUGGGUAACGGCGGUUUAAAAACUACAGCUCAGUAAACUGUCCGUUUGCCUCCUCGGGGUUGUUGACCGUCACUGGCGCCGUGUUUUCCGAGGCAGGUCUGUUGUGCAGGCGGCUCGUGUGUGUGUGGCGACCGUACAAUCCACCCCGAGACCCCGCCAACAACGCCGUCCCCUCCGUCCGACGUGAGCUCCACGGUGGCGGAUUUCCAGCGUUCCACUUCGUCAUCAGCCAGCACACUUUGUCUCGAUUCCAGCAGCUGUAAAAACAACAAUGAAUCAGUACUGUGCGAUGCGAUGCGUACGGACACAACACAUCGAUCAAUGCACCUGAAAAAAGUCAGCAAAUAAACUCUGACCCUCUUUCUUCUCGCUCGACUCCGCGCUGAAUCCUUCGCAGCUUCAGCCCGCAAUGAGUGUUCCGGCUGAACCUGAAGCUCCUGCGUACGUCUCAAAAUACGUCUCACAGGCGGCUGCAAAACAAUUAAAUGAGUGGUAUGAAUACAAAAAGAAAAUCAAACGCAAGUCACAGUAACAUUUAACAAGGAAGGAGAAACAGUGUCACUUACACACAAUGACGUCGUCUAAAUCUGGACUUUUCCCGGAGCAAAUACGAGGUCACCGCCUCAUUAUGAGGCGAGGUUAGUCUGUGAAAACAACAUGUACAGUUAUGAUCGGUAUCCAUACGUAUAUAUAUUCCUUAUACCGCAGAAUGAAAGCAUAUUCUUUAAAUCUGACCCUUGCUCCGGUUCGUAGCGCCUGUAGUUCGUCUCAGAGUUGUGAAGACGGCGCACCGCUUCCUGUAAACGACACGGCAAAGAAAACACACUUUAAUAAAGCUGUUUCUGCUCACUUGUAAGGCUACUAGGCUACUCUUAGCUUAGCUUGAGGCUAUGCUACUUUUAGCUUAACCUGCAGUCAUUGAACGUAUUCUUACCGCUAUCGUGGGAUUGUGCGCCCGUCUCCUCUUCUUUGAGUCGGUUCCUCUCCUCCAUGGACAGAAACCCGCAGAGUCCCGAACGCUCCAGUGGAGCGAACCGCUCGUUGAUAUCGGCGGU
ensembl:lncRNA